rnacentral:tRNA from 1 species
GCUGGGAUAGCUCACUUGGUAGAGUAUGAAACUCUUAAUCUCAGGGUUGUGGGUUUCAACCCCAUGCUGGGUG